rnacentral:sRNA from 1 species
AGCACUGAGGGGGGUAAGUUCCCAUGGUAAUGUUAAUUUAGGGUCUGCUUGCGCUGCAGGUUCAGGGGUAUUCGGAGGUAAACCGGUCUCAGACAUAGUAUAGUGGUUGGAACGCUCGAUCUUUGUAGAGGUAAAGGUUCGAGUGAAUCAAAAAAAGGAGGUCCUUAGGACUCUAGCUAGUUACGAGGAUAAAGCUAUAUAAGGUAAUACGGUACUAUCGAGAGGGAUUCGGAUAGAAGGAUCAGGUAUCGAGGAAGUAGAACGUAGGGGUCAGAUUAUAUUAGAAUGAUUCGCUGGCCCUAAGAAGGUCGGGCAAGCUGCUGGUUAUAUACA